rnacentral:rRNA from 1 species
UGAGUAAUUCUAUAACACUAUAGAAAAUUUUAUGUUAAAACUAGUAACAAGAAGAAGAACCUUCUCUUUAAUGUAAGUGUAAAUCAAAAUGGACAAACCACUGAUAAUUAACACCUAUGAACCUAAAGUAGUAACAAACCAAGAAAAAUCUACUCUCACCAACGUUAAUCUAACACAAGAACAUUAUAAGAAAGAUUUAAAAAAUAAGAAGGAACUCGGCAAAUCUUAGCCUCGCCUGUUUACCAAAAACAUCGCCUCUUGAAUUUUAAAUAAGAGGUCCAGCCUGCCCAGUGACUCUGUUCAACGGCCGCGGUAUCCUAACCGUGCGAAGGUAGCGUAAUCACUUGUUCUUUAAAUAAGGACUAGUAUGAAUGGCAUCACGAAGGCUAUACUGUCUCCUUUUUUUGAUCAGUGAAACUAAUCUUCCCGUGAAGAAGCGGGAAUAAACAUAUAAGACGAGAAGACCCUAUGGAGCUUUAAACAACAUAGCACUUACCACGCAUACAAAAAUUUAUGNAUUACAAAACUCACCAGGUAAAAUGUCUAUAAGUUUUUGGUUGGGGUGACCACGGAGCACAACAUAACCUCCAUGUUGAAAGAACACCAUUCUUAACAAAGAACUACUUUUCUAAGUAUCAACAUUUUGACAUCCAUUGACCCAAUGAUUUUGAGCAACGAACCAAGUUACCCUAGGGAUAACAGCGCAAUCCACUUUAAGAGCCCCUAUCGACAAGUGGGUUUACGACCUCGAUGUUGGAUCAGGGUUUCCAAGUGGUGCAGCCGCUACUAAANGGUUCGUUUGUUCAACGAUUAAAACCCUACGUGAUCUGAG